AUGAAGUUGGUGUAGCUCUGCCAGGAGUUGAUGGCCUAGAAGAACUUGGACUACGAAUUGGAGUUGUAGCCCUCACUGGAGUUCCAUUCCUAGACGGCUCUUGGCUAGCAAUGGGAGUCAUUUCUGUACCCAUAUCUCUCAUUGAUACAGACCUUGCUGUUGAAGGAGGAGGAAUAAAUGCAGUAGCACUAUGCAUGGCCGGAGAUGAAUCAUGCUGGCUAAGGCUAA
rnacentral:misc_RNA from 1 species